UGGGGAAUUUUGGACAAUGGGGGAAACCCUGAUCCAGCCAUGCCGCGUGAGUGAAGAAGGCCUUCGGGUUGUAAAGCUCUUUCAGCCGGAACGAAACGGUCACGGCUAAUACCUGUGACUACUGACGGUACCGGAAGAAGAAGCACCGGCUAACUACGUGCCAGCAGCCGCGGUAAUACGUAGGGUGCAAGCGUUAAUCGGAAUUACUGGGCGUAAAGCGUGCGCAGGCGGUUUUGUAAGUCAGAUGUGAAAUCCCCGGGCUUAACCUGGGAACUGCGUUUGAAACUACAAGGCUAGAGUGUGGCAGAGGGGGGUGGAAUUCCACGUGUAGCAGUGAAAUGCGUAGAGAUGUGGAGGAAUACCGAUGGCGAAGGCAGCCCCCUGGGCCAAUACUGACGCUCAUGCACGAAAGCGUGGGGAGCAAACA
rnacentral:rRNA from 1 species